rnacentral:rRNA from 1 species
CUGAUACGUGAUACCUUCAUUGCUCCCGACGCUGCAGCAAUUUUGAACAUACCUUUGCGGACUGGUGGAGGAGAGGAUUUCUUGGCCUGGGCUUAUGAAAAAACAGGUUUCUACACUGUCAAAUCAUCGUACCGUGCUCUAAUGAUUCAUAAUGAGCGAUCUGCUCUAGAAGAAGGGGCGGCUACAAGCACUUCCAUCUCGAAUGAACAGCUGUGGAAAUCUCUGUGGAAACUAAAUGUAGUGCCAAAGAUCCGUGUUUUCUGGUGGAGAGUCAUUCGUGGGAUCUUACCAGAUGAGAAAACCCUACAUCGACGGCACAUUCGUGUUACUAGUCGAAGCAAACUCUGUUUGGCAGACGAGGAGGACUUGAUGCAUGCACUCAUACACUGUUCUCAUGCCAGGAGCUUUUGGGACGAAGCUGAGAAGUGGUUUGACUUCAAACUACCUCGCCUUCAUCCAACCACUUGGGCGCGAGACAUUAUGAGCGACCCAAUCAUUCUGAAUGGAGACCGGGCGAAGAUUGUGUCAGUUAUGUGGUCUAUUUGGCACUCAAGGAACCGGUGGACACAUGAUGAAGAACACUUGGAUCUGGCAAACUCGCUACAGAUUAUUCGAGAGACAUUGGCGAUCCUGGAAUUACCUAAGGAUCUCGCCCUAGCUCUUCCUGGCUUUGGUUGGCUUCCCCCGGAUGAUGACAGUGUUAAGAUUAAUACGGAUGCGGGUAUUGACAGUAUCCGGGAGCAAGGGGGCGGGUGGGGUUGCCCGUUCAGCCACUGGCUUUUUAGGAGCAUGGUGUAA